UGACCUUUCGCCGCAAACAAAAUAUACGCUGCACAAUCAGAUGGAGUGCUUUGUGGGAUUGGCUGUGCUGAUGUCACUGAAGGUCAAACAAGCUCAGAUGAAAGCACUCAUCUUUAUGAACAUCAACCUGAGGAGACAGCGAGAUGAACCUUCAAUGUCCUUCACCGAUCAUCAUUUCAAGUGUGGUUUGGACGUGACAGACAGCGAUGAUAUCUGAGCGGGCGUGUUGGAGGAUGCUGAGGGUGCGUGACUGUUGCCAAACAGAUUUCAUCAUCCCGUAUCGUGCUGAACCCCUGCAGGUAAACCCUCUCGCUGUCUCCAUGCAAGAGAAACUCAGAAGUCCUCCAGCUAAUCUCAGGUCUGGAUGCAGCUGUGUUUCUGAGCCGUCGGGGAAAAAGACUCUCGAGUCCCUGCAGCAGCGGACACUUGGUAUUCUUAUGUUUUUAAGAGGAGGGAAAUGUCAUUUUAAAAGCUUUUUGCCAUACACUCUUAAAAAUAAAGGUUCCCAAAGUGUUUUUUUCACAGCAGUGC
rnacentral:lncRNA from 1 species